rnacentral:rRNA from 1 species
GACGAACGCUGGCGGCGUGCUUAACACAUGCAAGUCGGACGGAAAGGCCCUGCUUUUGUGGGGUGCUCGAGUGGCGAACGGGUGAGUAACACGUGAGUAACCUGCCCUUGACUUUGGGAUAACUUCAGGAAACUGGGGCUAAUACCGGAUAGGAGCUCCUGCUGCAUGGUGGGGGUUGGAAAGUUUCGGCGGUAGGGGAUGGACUCGCGGCCUAUCAGCUUGUUGGUGGGGUAGUGGCUUACCAAGGCUUUGACGGGUAGCCGGCCUGAGAGGGUGACCGGCCACAUUGGGACUGAGAUACGGCCCAGACUCCUACGGGAGGCAGCAGUGGGGAAUAUUGCACAAUGGGCGGAAGCCUGAUGCAGCAACGCCGCGUGCGGGAUGACGGCCUUCGGGUUGUAAACCGCUUUCGCCUGUGACGAAGCGUGAGUGACGGUAAUGGGUAAAGAAGCACCGGCUAACUACGUG